rnacentral:rRNA from 1 species
UGGGGAAUUUUGGACAAUGGGGGAAACCCUGAUCCAGCCAUCCCGCGUGUGCGAUGAAGGCCUUCGGGUUGUAAAGCACUUUUGGCAGGAAAGAAACGUCGCGGGUUAAUACCCCGCGAAACUGACGGUACCUGCAGAAUAAGCACCGGCUAACUACGUGCCAGCAGCCGCGGUAAUACGUAGGGUGCAAGCGUUAAUCGGAAUUACUGGGCGUAAAGCGUGCGCAGGCGGUUCGGAAAGAAAGAUGUGAAAUCCCAGAGCUUAACUUUGGAACUGCAUUUUUAACUACCGGGCUAGAGUGUGUCAGAGGGAGGUGGAAUUCCGCGUGUAGCAGUGAAAUGCGUAGAUAUGCGGAGGAACACCGAUGGCGAAGGCAGCCUCCUGGGAUAACACUGACGCUCAUGCACGAAAGCGUGGGGAGCAAACAGGAUUAGAUACCCUGGUAGUCCACGCCCUAAACGAUGUCAACUAGCUGUUGGGGCCUUCGGGCCUUGGUAGCGCAGCUAACGCGUGAAGUUGACCGCCUGGGGGAGUACGGUCGCAAGAUUAAAACUCAAAUGAAUUGAC